rnacentral:rRNA from 1 species
CAGUCGAGCGGGCGUAGCAUACGUCAGCGGCAGACGGGUGANNNNCGCGUGGGAACAUACCUUUUGGUUCGGAACAACACAGGGAAACUUGUGCUAAUACCGGAUAAGCCCUUACGGGGAAAGAUUUAUCGCCGAAAGAUUGGCCCGCGUCUGAUUAGCUAGUUGGUGAGGUAACGGCUCACCAAGGCGACGAUCAGUAGCUGGUCUGAGAGGAUGAUCAGCCACAUUGGGACUGAGACACGGCCCAAACUCCUACGGGAGGCAGCAGUGGGGAAUAUUGGACAAUGGGCGCAAGCCUGAUCCAGCCAUGCCGCGUGAGUGAUGUAGGCCCUAGGGUUGUAAAGCUCUUUUGUGCGGGAAGAUAAUGACGGUACCGCAAGAAUAAGCCCCGGCUAACUUCGUGCCAGCAGCCGCG